GAUUACACCACUGCACUUCUAGCCUGGGUGACAGAGCAAGACUCCAUCUCAAGGGGAGAAAAAAAAAAGCAAACCUCGUUGUUCUUUGGCUGGGUUUUAUAUAACACUUACCUCGACCCCCAAAACUUCCUCAUGCCCCUUGUUUUUCAGUCCCUGUCUUGAACACCCAGUGCCUGGCAACCACUGAUACUACCUUUUCCAGAAUGCCAUACAAAUAGAAUCAUAGUAUUUAGCCUUUUACAUUUGACUUUUUGGAUUCAGUAGUAUAGUCUAUCCAUGUUGUUGCAUGUAUCAGUAAUAGGUUCUUUUUUUAUUGCUGAUAGUCUGUUAUUGUGGAUGUACCACAAUUUGUUUAGCCAUUCCCCAGUGGAUUGAUAUUUGGGUGGAUUUUAGCUGUUAUGAGUAAAGUGACUAUAAACAUUUCCAAAUAGAUCUUUGUGUAGACAUAUGUUUUCAUUUCUCUUGGUUAAAAAUACCUACAAGUGGGACCUUAUUUUAACUACUAUGAAGGAGGUAUUCUUUCUACUUAAA